rnacentral:rRNA from 1 species
GAUGAACGCUGGCGGCGUGCCUAAUACAUGCAAGUCGAGCGAACAGACGAGGAGCUUGCUCCUCUGACGUUAGCGGCGGACGGGUGAGUAACACGUGGAUAACCUACCUAUAAGACUGGGAUAACUUCGGGAAACCGGAGCUAAUACCGGAUAAUAUAUUGAACCGCAUGGUUCAAUAGUGAAAGACGGUUUUGCUGUCACUUAUAGAUAGAUCCGCGCCGCAUUAGCUAGUUGGUAAGGUAACGGCUUACCAAGGCAACGAUGCGUAGCCGACCUGAGAGGGUGAUCGGCCACACUGGAGCUGAGACACGGUCCAGACUCCUACGGGAGGCAGCAGUAGGGAAUCUUCCGCAAUGGGCGAAAGCCUGACGGAGCAACGCCGCGUGAGUGAUGAAGGUCUUCGGAUCGUAAAACUCUGUUAUUAGGGAAGAACAAAUGUGUAAGUAACUAUGCACGUCUUGACGGUACCUAAUCAGAAAGCCACGGCUAACUACGUG